GAUGAAGAACGUAGCGAAAUGCGAUAAGUAUUGUGAAUUGCAGAAUCCAGUGAAUCAUCGAAUCUUUGAACGCACAUUGCGCCCGCCAGUACUCUGGCGGGCAUGCCUGUUCGAGCGUCAUUUCGACCAUCAAGCCCCCGGGCUUGUGUUGGGGACCUGCGGCUGCCCGCAGGCCCUGAAAACCAGUGGCGGGCUCGCUGUCACUCCGAGCGUAGUAGUUAUCACCUCGCUCUGGUCGUGCUGCGGGUUCCGGCCGUCAAGACACCCAUCAGACCCCAAAGGUUGACCUCGGAUCAGGUAGGAAUACCCGCUGAACUUAAGCAUAUCAAUAAGCGAAGGA
rnacentral:misc_RNA from 1 species